rnacentral:misc_RNA from 1 species
UUAAGUUCAGCGGGUAUUCCUACCUGAUCCGAGGUCAACAUUCAGAAAAUUGGGGGGUUUAACGGCCGGGAACCGCCACACUUCCAAAGCGAGAGAGAUUACUACGCUCGGAGUUAUAGCGAGCCCGCCACUGUUUUUCAGGGCCUGCGGCCGAAGCCGCAGAAGCCCCAACACCAAGCAAGAGAGCUUGAGGGUUGAAA